rnacentral:rRNA from 1 species
UACAGAAGGUGCGGGCGUAUUCGUUUUGAUUGGGUGUAAAGGUGCGUAGGCGGUCAUUGAAUUUGAGCGGCCAAAAACACGGAGUGUUCCUACGUGUGGGCCUUUUAAAGAUUUGACUUGUGUUGAGUCCACAUGACAGGUUGGGGCAAUUACGUGUGUAAGGGUAAGAUCUUGCCAGAUACGUAGGAACGCCGAUAGGCGGAGGCGCCUUUCUAGCUUCAACAGACGCUGAGUCACGGAAGCCUGGGGAGCAAACAGA